GCCGCUAUGGUGAAAUUGGUAGACACGCGC
rnacentral:tRNA from 7 species